rnacentral:lncRNA from 7 species
AUACCUCAAGUCCCUGUCAAAGGGAUAAUGCCAGAAGGAAAAUGAAGUCCAUCAUAAAUAUGACUUGAUUUGGAUGAUACUCAGAACAAUAUCAGCCCCAGCUUCUCUGAAGGUCUUCAGCACAGAAGACUUUGGACAUCAUCUAGCUCCAUGAUGGCAGCAACCAGCUAUGAACCACAAGGCUGAGUAAAGUGAGGGCUGCACAUUGGCUAAAGUGUUCCUGAAGCACCCCCUCAAACUCACCCAAAACACAGACAAAAAGUCUAGCACCAAAUCCCACAGGUGGUCCAUGGGAGGCAAAUUGUCCUCAGUGAAGAAGGCAUUUCAGUUCCCAAAUGGGUCAUAACUGCACAGGAUGUGACCUGUAGGGAACCUGUGCAUCAUCUCCCUCUUAACAACAGGCUUUCCGACCAUGAUGUAAUAGAGAGAACAUACUUCUGCAGUGUUUCCUGGUGGUACCAUUAAAAAGACAAAUGGCAAUAGCCAUGUGG